GAUGAACGCUGGCGGCGUGCCUAAUACAUGCAAGUCGAGCGAACAGACGAGGAGCUUGCUCCUCUGACGUUAGCGGCGGACGGGUGAGUAACACGUGGAUAACCUACCUAUAAGACUGGGAUAACUUCGGGAAACCGGAGCUAAUACCGGAUAAUAUAUUGAACCGCAUGGUUCAAUAGUGAAAGACGGUUUUGCUGUCACUUAUAGAUGGAUCCGCGCCGCAUUAGCUAGUUGGUAAGGUAACGGCUUACCAAGGCAACGAUGCGUAGCCGACCUGAGAGAGUGAUCGGACACACUGGAACUGAGACACGGUCCAGACUCCUACGGGAGGCAGCAGUAGGGAAUCUUCCGCAAUGGGCGAAAGCCUGACGGAGCAACGCCGCGUGAGUGAUGAAGGUCUUCGGAUCGUAAAACCCUGUUAUUAGGGAAGAACAAAUGUGUAAGUAACUAUGCACGUCUUGACGGUACCUAAUCAGAAAGCCACGGCUAACUACGUG
rnacentral:rRNA from 1 species